ACCUAUACAACUAAACACAACAUUACCAACCUGCUACAACAUUACCAACCUGCUACAAGUAAACACAACAUUACCAACCUGCACAACUCAACACAACAUUACCAACCUGCACAACUCAACACAACAUUAUCAACCUGCUACAACAUUAUCAACCUAUACAACUAAACACAACAUUAUCAACCUGCUACAACAUUAUCAACCUAUACAACUAAACACAACAUUACCAACCUGCUACAACUCAACACAACAUUAUCAACCUAUACAACUAAACACAACAUUAUCAACCUGCUACAACAUUAUCAACCUAUACAACUAAACACAACAUUAUCAACCUGCUACAACAUUAUCAACCUAUACAACUAAACACAACAUUACCAACCUGCUACAACUCAACACAACAUUACCAACCUGCUACAACUAAAUACAACAUUAUCAACCUGCUACAACAUUAUCAACCUGUACAACUAAACACAACAUUAUCGACCUGCUACAACUAAACACAACAUUAUCGACCUGCUACAACUAAACACAACAUUACAACCUGCUACAACUAAACACAACAUUAUCGACCUGCUACAACUAAACACAACAUUAUCGACCUGCUACACAGAGAGGAACCAAGCAUAAAUGUAUUUUUCCAUUGAUUGAAAAUAGCUGUCACUGCAGGGGGAUGUUUGUAGCCAUCUUUUCAUUUUAUUUUCUCCUUCAUGUGGGAACAUCUAUAAUAUUAGACCCAUCUCUUUAUUCUCUUGAAUGACUUGUACAGACCAGGGUCUGUACCGACCCCGAGCUGGACUGAGGAGGUUUUAUACAGACCAGGGUCUGUAUCGACCCCGAGCUGGACUGAGGAGGUUUUAUUCAGACCAGGGUCUGUACCGACCCCGAGCUGGACUGAGGAGGUUUUAUACAGACCAGGGUCUGUAUCGACCCCGAGCUGGACUGAGGAGGUUUUAUACAGACCAGGGUCUGUACCGACCCCGAGCUGGACUGAGGAGGUUUUAUACAGACCAGGGUCUGUAUCGACCCCGAGCUGGACUGAGGAGGUUUUAUACAGACCAGGGUCUGUAUCGACCCCGAGCUGGACUGAGGAGGUUUUAUACAGACCAGGGUCUGUACCGACCCCGAGCUGGACUGAGGAGGUUUUAUACAGACCAGGGUCUGUACUGAGCUGGACUGAGGAGGUUUUAUACAGACCAGGGUCUGUGAUCAACCAAGAUGGACUGAGGAGGUUUUAUACAGACCAGGGUCUGUACCGACCCCGAGCUGGACUGAGGAGGUUUUAUACAGACCAGGGUCUGUACCGACCCAGAGCUGGACUGAGGAGGUUUUAUACAGACCAGGGUCUGUACCGACCCAGAGCUGGACUGAGGAGGUUUUAUACAGACCAGGGUCUGUGAUCAACCAAGAUGGACUGAGGAGGUUUUAUACAGACCAGGAUCUGUACCGACCCAGACCUGAACUGAGGAGGUUUUAUACAGACCAGGGUCUGUACCGACCCAGAGCUGGACUGAGGAGGUUUUAUACAGACCAGGGUCUGUACCGACCCAGAGCUGGACUGAGGAGGUUUUAUACAGACCAGGGUCUGUGAUCAACCAAGAUGGACUGAGGAGGUUUUAUACAGACCAGGGUCUGUACCGAGCUGGACUGAGGAGGUUUUAUACAGACCAGGGUCUGUAUCAACCCCGAGCUGGACUGAGGAGGUUUUAUACAGACCAGGGUCUGUACCGACCCCGAGCUGGACUGAGGAGGUUUUAUACAGACCAGGGUCUGUAUCGACCCAGAGCUGGACUGAGGGGUUUUAUACAGACCAGGGUCUGUACCGAGCUGGACUGAGGAGGUUUUAUACAGACCAGGAUCUGUACCGACCCAGAACUGGACUGAGGAGGUUUUAUACAGACCAGGGUCUGUAUCGACCCAGAGCUGGACUGAGGAGGUUUUAUACAGACCAGGGUCUGUACCGACCCAGAACUGGACUGAGGAGGUUUUAUACAGACCAGGGUCUGUACCGACCCAGAGCUGGACUGAGGAGGUUUUAUACAGACAGGGUCUGUGAUCAACCAAGAUGGACUGAGGAGGUUUUAUACAGACCAGGAUCUGUACCGAGCUGGACUGAGGAGGUUUUAUACAGACCAGGGUCUGUAUCGACCCAGAGCUGGACUGAGGGGUUUUAUACAGACCAGGGUCUGUACCGAGCUGGACUGAGGAGGUUUUAUACAGACCAGGGUCUGUACCGACCCAGAGCUGGACUGAGGAGGUUUUAUACAGACCAGGGUCUGUAUCGACCCCGAGCUGGACUGAGGAGGUUUUAUACAGACCAGGGUCUGUACCGAGCUGGACUGAGGGGUUUUAUACAGACCAGGGUCUGUACCGACCCAGAGCUGGACUGAGGAGGUUCUAUACCUGGUCUGUGUUCAACCAAGAUGGAAGAGGAACGACUCAAACAUCCGAAUCUUAGUGCCAAGGUUACCGUGGAAACAGAGGAGGGGAACUGAUUUGUCUAAG
rnacentral:lncRNA from 1 species